rnacentral:rRNA from 1 species
AUAUUAUUAAGUGGAGGAAAAGAAACCAAAAGGGAUUCCCCCAGUAGCGGCGAGCGAAAAGGGACCGGCCCAAAGCCGAAUCCCCCGCCCCUUUUCGGGCGACGGGAAAUGUGGCGUAUGGCGGCGGGAUUUUUCCGCGCGUAGAGGACGGCCCAAGUCCCCAUGAGCGGGGCCGCGACCGGAGCGGGUGAGAGUCCCGUACGGUCGUUCUCUUCGCGCCGAGGCGCCCGCCGCCGGGAGUCGGGUUGCUUGAAAGUGCAACCCAAAGUGGGUGGUAUGCUCCACCUAAGGCUGAAUAUUCCCGAGAGACCGAUAGCAAAAAAGUACCGUGAGGGAAAGUUGAAAAGAACUUUGAAGAGAGAGUUCAACAGUACGUGAAACCGCUUAGAGGUAAACGGGUGGGCCUUCGAAGUCCGAGCGUUACCCAAGUCGAGUCUGUUUCGACGGACGAGACUUUCGCAGUAGGCAGCCGCGACCGGUUGGCCGAGGGUCGUAGGGACAGGCGGAGCGGGCCCCCAGGGGCCUCUCCGCGGGAACAGCCGACCCCCGAGACCGACCGUCCACGCCCCGCCGCCCGCUUCGGUGGGAGGAGGGGUUGUUCCGCGGCCAGUAGAUCGGGUCCCACCCGACCCGUCUUG